ACUCGGUGUCACUGUAUGCCCCGACCGCUCAGCGCCUGGGUCUGGCAUGGCAGACAGAACAGCUCCAGGGGAGUCAAGGGCACAGGAUGAAACCAGACGAGGCAAGGCGGGGUGGGGUGGGGCGGAGUGAGUGAGUUCUCUUGGGAGGGAGGUUUGGGGCGCAGGCCGGGCGAGGUGCAACAGCAGGGGGCGGCGAGCUGGUGAGGCACUGGCCUCCAGAGUCUGAGGCCAAGGCGGGCCUUGCUGGCGGCGACGGAGCAGUGAUCGGUGCCUCUGAGAGCUUGGACUGGAGACUAGGCCAAGUCUCCAGCAGGGGUGGACGUGCCUUCCAGCCACUGAAGGCCAGAAUGACAGGUGUGGUCAACAUGCUAGAAAGACAUGACAUGGUCCGGUGUGAUGGAGAGGAAGAAGGGCUCUCACCUGGCCUUCCUGAACACCAUGAGCUGGCGCCGUGGGACCCUGCCACAUGAGCCGUCUGUCUUUUACUUCUCCCAAAGAGCCAACAGAUCACACUGCUGCUCUCUGGAUCCUCUUCCCCUGCUCCUUGAACCCUCAAGAUGAAAAGAAAUGGUGCUACCCAGCUCACGUCUGGGCCUUCGAAUCUGGGGACUUCUUCAAGUCCAUCUAGCUCUGAAUCAAGACUAUGCUGCGAUUGGAACCACUACACCACCUGCCUCAGGAAUCGGCUCUGGAAGGUGGGUGAAGCCGAAGGAACAGACGGUGUGAACAUCUUAAGAGCAGAUCCACAGCAUCCACCCCCCGCCAAGACUCCAUCUUCAGUGGCCAGUUCCGCCUUGCCCAGGAGGCCAGCACAUCACCAUCGCCUCCCUCUGAGCUUCUUCAGCCUUUUCCUCCACCCUUGUGUUUCUUUCUUUUUGUCUUUUCUUUGCUUGAGAGACUCAAAGCAUCCGUGACUCUGUUUCCCCCACCCAUCCCCUUCUGAAUUCAAUUUGCACUAAGUCGUUUGCACUGGUUUGGAGUUCCGGAGACAGCCUUGUGUCUCUCGGCACGAAUGUGUACAGUGAGUGUGAGUGUGUGUGUGUGUGUGUGUGUGUGUGUGUGUGUGUGAGUGAGUGUGUGUGUGUGUGUGUAUCUGUGUGUAGGCCCCUUUGGUCACACCACCCCAGCGCCUGCCUGCCAUCCAUCUCUGUCUGCGGGCGACUGGGCGAUGGCGGCGUGUUUGAGGCCUCGCCCCCACCCCCCUGCCUAGUCUGGAGGAAGUUCCAUCACAAAGUUUUCAUCAUGUCUUAUUUCAUUCUGUGCCCCUCCUCACCAGGACCUCACCAGAGGCUCUGGACUCAUCAAUAAAUACAGUUACAGUCA